GAGUAGAGGAAUUUUGGUGCAAAUAUGUUAAAUACAUGUGGUUUUUUUGCCUUGCCUUUUUACAGCAUGCGAGGAAUACCAACAUUAGCAUAUCCCUGUUGUGGUACAAUGAUGAAAUUAAUACAAGACCUCUAAUACUGAACUAAGAAGUUGCAUGCAGGGUCUCUCCAAUUGUCAUUUCCAAGUUGGGUUUAGCAAGUGGCAUUCUUACUCGACAUUAUUCCCCCCAGUCUCCUACCUUCUCUUUCAAAAUAACCAGCCAAAGGAAGGGGAAGUUGAUUGAGAUUUGUUGCUCUCAGCCGUCUAUAAAUUCUUCAUUGCUUGUUUUUGGCAAGCAGGAAGAGUCACAGGGACUAUCUGUUUGCAUCGGACACUUGGAAUUAUUGAUGUGAUCCUAGGAUUGCUGAGUGUAGGACCUUGGUAGAUUGCUAGGUUUUGUGUGCUAGUAAGGAAACAAAAGGGCGUGACGUAUAGUUGUUUUGUGCAAUACAGUAAAAUAAGCUUUCCCCGUGCCAAAUCCCGAAGGACUUAAUUGGAGAUGGUUUCAUCACAUGAAUGUUUAAAUCUAUGGAUAUAUGGCAUAUAUACAAGUGAGAUCAUGCUCGAUUUUAUUUGACAUAUUUGCAUAAAAACCAUGGAAGGAAAUUGUGAGUUGAAGACAUGAAAUAUGACUAACAAACUAAAGGAGUAUAGACUUAAUGUAAGAAUCUUGUGGUUUUUUGUGUUUUGGAUGUGACAGAUGUACCUGCCCUAGGCACUCAAUAUUUUCACCUGUUAAAGGAACAAUUUUGCUCACAAGAGUCAACAAAUGCGAGUAGUGGCUCUCAUUGUACUGCACUCACAGUCAUAACUAUUUUGCUGGCUGUUAAAAUUCAAUCAUGCUAGUCAGAAGAUUUUU
rnacentral:misc_RNA from 1 species